rnacentral:rRNA from 1 species
CCCUUAGAUGUCCGGGGCCGCACGCGCGCUACACUGAAGGAAUCAGCGUGGCUUUCUCCCUGACCCGAAAGGGUUGGGAAACCCGUUGAAUCUCCUUCGUGAUAGGGAUUGGGGCUUGAAAUUGUUCCCCAUGAACGAGGAAUUCCCAGUAAGCGCGAGUCAUAAGCUCGCGUUGAUUACGUCCCUGCCCUUUGUACACACCGCCCGUCGCUACUACCGAUUGAACGGUUUAGUGAGGGCCUCGGAUUGGUCUCGGCCCGCUCUUUACUGGGCGGCGCCGUUGGUCGAGAAGACGCUCGAACUUGAUCGUUUAGAGGAAGUAAAAGUCGUAACA